rnacentral:rRNA from 1 species
CAAUAGCGUAUAUUUAAGUUGUUGCAGUUAAAAAGCUCGUAGUUGGAUUUCGGGUGGGACGCAGCGGUCUCGCAUUGCGUUUGUACUGCUGCAGCCCUCCUUCUUGCCGGGGGCGGCCUCUCGGACUUCACUGUCUGGGGGUCAGAAUCGGCGAUGUUACUUUGAGUAAAUUAGAGUGUUCAAAGCAAGCUUACGCUCUGAAUAUAAUAGCAUGGGAUAACACGACAGGACUCUGGCCUAUCGUGUUGGUCUAUAGGACCAGAGUAAUGAUUAAGAGGGACAGUCGGGGGCAUUCGUAUUCCGUUGUCAGAGGUGAAAUUCUUGGAUUUACGGAAGACGAACAUCUGCGGAAGCAUUUGCCAAGGAUGUUUUCAUUGA